rnacentral:lncRNA from 1 species
UUUGAAAGUCACAUUCAGUGCCAUUAGUAUUAUACAGAGAACCUUUACAAAGAGCUGUUUGUCUGUGCAGGUAUUUCUGUGGCCAUAUAUUGCUCUGUGUACCAGGUGGCAUUUAUCUACAAAAGCAGUGUGCAUCUUUCUGCUCACUGGGUUCAUAUACAAGAGAUGAAUUUCCUGUAUGUUAAAAUAUAAAAAUAUCAGAAGGACAUAGUCAUUUUCACCAGUCUUAGCUUGCAAAUCUCUGAAUGAGGCCAAUUAGGUCUGGGUGGAGAAGGAGCUCAAGAAGAGAAGGCCAUUUGAAGGAAAUACCCCUUUGGUGAGUUCAGUAGAAAGACCAUCUGCUGAGCUUGUGCUGUCUUUCAUUCUGCAAAUCCAGUUAGAAAUUCAAGGGCAUGUUUCUGUAUUUACUAUACCAGAUGCAUUUUUCUUGUGGAUGCAGACCUAUAAGGUGACAAAUCUGUCUGGUGAUGGGGAAAACCAGUUUGCAUCAUCAAUAGUUGAAACAAGGUAAAAAGCAAAACAAACAGCAGGUACAAGAAAAGUAAAAAUCAGACGUCUGAAAGGAUUUUUUCAGGAUAACAGCUUUAAUCUCAGGAUUCCUGCAGACCUCUUUGGUACUAUGGAGCUUCCCUUCCAUGACCACAGGUCCAAGGAAUUGCAGAGGAACAAAGCAAGGAUCUGCUUUGCAAGGAGAAGAGCCUUGAGGGAGAGCACCGGGGUCCAUUCAGUCCCUAUUAAAAGCACUGGGAGUGAAGUCAAAUUGAGGAAGAACCUCCUUGGGUGGGCAGAACAAAGUCACAGAGCCCAUGGGAAGGCAGUGCCGCAUGAUGAGGAGCUGUGCCAGGGCUGGAGAAAGCCUGAGUCCUGCUGCAUCCCGAAGGAAGCAGAGAUGAUGGGCUUGUGUGGCUUCAAGCAUAAGGUGGUGCACAUCUUCACUUCCUACGCAGACCAGUUUUUCUCUGCACUUCUGCUUCCUAAUCUCAUCUGAAAGUCCAUAUUUCUGCAUUUCCUGAUUCAUUAUUCAUCCUGUGUUGGGAUGGACGGUGGAGCUGGUGCUACCUGCGUGCUGUCACUCUGGGCAGUGAGUGAGGGCUUGAGCAACAGGGCUGCUCUGCCAGUGCCUUUCCCUUGACACAUCCCAGACCACAAACAUGGCCUCUACAUCUGAGGGAGAGAAGCAGCAGGGGCAGGCGUGAGUCAUGGGCCUCAUGACAGGGGAAUUCCUCGCUGGUUGCUGGCAGCAACGUUGGGACUGAGCGGUUUUUGCUGCCUGACUGUUAUGGAAAGAGCUGCCCUCAGCUGAAUGCUUAAUUCCAGUUUCUCAUCUCCCUUCAAAAUAGAAGAUCCCGAUGUAUGGAUUUUUGACCAUAUGGUUCUCUUCACAUUCCCUCAGUAAACGAGGAGAGUUCCAGGUUCACAGCAAGCCCCAGUGUAACCUUUCAAGUCAUCUGCAUCAAGUUGGUGCUGCGCUCUGCUCAUCCCCUUGAUAAGGAAACACAAAAGAACAAACUAUCAACCAGCAAAACAGCCCAACUUCCCAUCUUUUAGUCACAGAUAACGCUUGGUGAGCCCAAACCCUGGUUUCACCUCCUGAAAGCACUCUGGGUCUGCCCACAAGUGCAGUUCCCUAUACGUGGAACAGCACAGCUCUGCACACUGCAGUCAUUGCAUGCAGGUGCUUCCUGUGGUUGCAGCUUCAUCUUGGUUCCUUGAAAAAGGUUUGGGUCUUUUCAGAAGUGUAUGAAGCGUGCAGGAGAUUAGGGCUCCCCUUGUUGCUCUGCUGUGCCUGAGUGGAAGGCAGUAAAAGUGUCUGGGGAAAAAAAGGAUAGUUCUGCUGAAGGCUGCUUUGGUGUCACUGCAUUGAAAAUAACCCACAGCACAAGUUUUACUCAGUUUGUUAUUAUGUGUUUUAUAUUCUAGUACAGUGGUAUUUUAGAAAUGGCCAGAGAUGUAGCUGUAGCUAUAACUAAGGUUGCUUGAAACUUUCCAGGCUUCUUUACUUCCUUGUAACUGUCAAACUGUAAAGACACACUGAAAUUUCUCAUGUUGGUAUCAGCUCUGGUUAAUUUAUUUACAACAACUUAAACCCAACAUCAGUAAAAUUUCAAGGGAAAUUUGAAAGUUGGAGGCAUGGAAGGAAUAGGUGUUCUCCCAGUUCAGAACAGAAUAAAGUUAUGAAAUAAAUGAAUUUCCUGCA